rnacentral:rRNA from 1 species
GUCCACGCCGUAAACGUUGGGCACUAGGUGUGGGUCGUUAUCAACGCGAUCCGUGCCGUAGCUAACGCAUUAAGUGCCCCGCCUGGGGAGUACGGCCGCAAGGCUAAAACUCAAAGGAAUUGACGGGGGCCCGCACAAGCGGCUGAGCAUGUUGCUUAAUUCGAGGCAACGCGAAGAACCUUACCUGGGCUUGACAUGUAGGGAAAAGCCGUAGAGAUACGGUGUCCUUCGGGGCCCUACACAGGUGGUGCAUGGCUGUCGU